AUGAACGCUGGCGGCGUGCCUAAUACAUGCAAGUCGAGCGAACAGACGAGGAGCUUGCUCCUCUGACGUUAGCGGCGGACGGGUGAGUAGCACGUGGAUAACCUACCUAUAAGACUGGGAUAACUUCGGGAAACCGGAGCUAAUACCGGAUAAUAUAUUUAACCGCAUGGUUCAAUAGUGAAAGACGGUUUUGCUGUCACUUAUAUAUGGAUCCGCGCCGCAUUAGCUAGUUGGUAAGGUAACGGCUUACCAAGGCAACGAUGCGUAGCCGACCUGAGAGGGUGAUCGGCCACACUGGAACUGAGACACGGUCCAGACUCCUACGGGAGGCAGCAGUAGGGAAUCUUCCGCAAUGGGCGAAAGCUUGACGGAGCAACGCCGCGUGAGUGAUGAAGGUCUUCGGAUCGUAAAACUCUGUUAUUAGGGAAGAACAAAUGUGUAAGUAACUAUGCACGUCUUGACGGUACCUAAUCAGAAAGCCACGGCUAACUACGUG
rnacentral:rRNA from 1 species